AUUGAACGCUGGCGGCAUGCCUUACACAUGCAAGUCGAACGGCAGCACGGGAGCAAUCCUGGUGGCGAGUGGCGAACGGGUGAGUAAUAUAUCGGAACGUGCCCAGUCGUGGGGGAUAACGCAGCGAAAGCUGUGCUAAUACCGCAUACGAUCUACGGAUGAAAGCGGGGGACCGCAAGACCUCGCGCGAUUGGAGCGGCCGAUAUCAGAUUAGCUAGUUGGUGAGGUAAAGGCUCACCAAGGCGACGCAUUGUAGCUGGUCUGAGAGGACGUCCAGCCAUACGGGAACUGAGACACGGUCCAGACUCCUCCGGUAGGCAGCAGUGGGGAAUUAUGGACAAUGGGCGAAAGCCUGAUCCAGCAAUGCCGCGUGCAGGAUGAAGGCCUUCGCGUUGUAAACUGCUUUUGUACGGAACGAAACGGUGAGCUCUAAUACAGUUUGCUAAUGACGGUACCGUAAGAAUAAGCACCGGCUAACUACGUGCCAGCCGCCGCCGUAA
rnacentral:rRNA from 1 species